UACGGAGGGUGCAAGCGUUAUCCGGAUUCACUGGGUUUAAAGGGUGCGUAGGAGGGCAGGGAAGUCCGUGGUGAAAUCUCCGAGCUUAACUCGGAAACUGCCGUGGAUACUCUCGGUCUUGAAUCCCGUGGAGAUGAGCGGAAUAUGUCAUGUAGCGGUGAAAUGCUUAGAUAUGACAUAGAACACCAAUUGCGAAGGCAGCUCGUUACACGAAGAUUGACUCUGAGGCACGAAAGCGUGGGGAUCAAACAGG
rnacentral:rRNA from 1 species